rnacentral:lncRNA from 1 species
UGGUUAUGUUUGUAUGUUUGUUUUUUAGAGAGAGCUGCAUCUUUCUGACAGCUGGCCUAUGAAUACCAAGUCUUUCUGCCACAGUCUUGGAGUAUAAAAUACAGGUUAAAAACCAAGUCAAGUUUCACAACAGCUCUAUUUCUCUCAAUUGCAUCAAAGGCACACAGGACUUAUAUCUUCUGGGAUCCAUGACAUGACUCAGCUGGAGUCUUGGGGA